ACACGUAGGGGGCGAGCGUUGUUCGGAAUCAUUGGGCGUAAAGGGCGUGCAGGCGGUCCUGCAAGUCCGGCGUGAAAGACCCCGGCCCAACCGGGGGGACGCGCUGGAAACUGCGGGGCUUGAGUACAGGAGGGGAUGCCGGAAUUCCAGGUGUAGGGGUGAAAUCUGUAGGUAUCUGGAAGAACACCAAUGGCGAAGGCAGGCAUCUGGCCAUGUACUGACGCUGAGACGCGAAGGUGCGGGGAGCAAACAGGUUUAGAUACCCUGGUAGUCCGCACAGUAAACGAUGUGCACCAGGUGGCGGGGGGUCGACCCUCGGUACCGUAGCUAACGCAUUAAGUGCACCGCCUGGGGAGUAUGCUCGCAAGGGUGAAACUCAAAGGAAUUGACGGGG
rnacentral:rRNA from 1 species